CUACGGGAGGCAGCAGUGGGGAAUAUUGCACAAUGGAGGAAACUCUGAUGCAGCAACGCCGCGUGAGUGAUGAAGGUCUUCGGAUCGUAAAGCUCUUUGAUUGAGGACGAUAAUGACGGUACCCAAAGAACAAGCCACGGCUAACUACGUGCCAGCAGCCGCGGUAAUACGUAGGUGGCGAGCGUUGUCCGGAUUUACUGGGCGUAAAGGAUGCGUAGGUGGAAACUUAAGUGAGAUGUGAAAUCCCCGGGCUUAACCUGGGAACUGCAUUUCAAACUGGGUAUCUAGAGUGCAGGAGAGGAAAGCGGAAUUCCUAGUGUAGCGGUGAAAUGCGUAGAUAUUAGGAAGAACAUCAGUGGCGAAGGCGGCUGUCUGGGGUCUUGCUGACGCUGAGGCAUGAAAGCGUGGGGAGCAAACAGGAUUAGAUACCCCGGUAGUCC
rnacentral:rRNA from 1 species